rnacentral:rRNA from 1 species
AUUGAACGCUGGCGGCAGGCCUAACACAUGCAAGUCGAACGAGGGGCAGACGGGUGAGUAAUGUCUGAGAAACUGCCUGAUGGAGGGGGAUAACUACUGGAAACGGUAGCUAAUACCGCAUACCAUGGGAUGUGCCCAUAUGGGAUUAGCUUGUAGGUGGGGUAACGGCUCAACUAGGCGACGAUCCCUAGCUGGUUUGAGAGGAUGACCAGCCACACUGGAACUGAUACACGGUCCAGACUCCUACGGGAGGCAGCAGUGGGGAAUAUUGCACAAGGGGCGCAAGCCUGAUGCAGCCAUGCCGCGUGUAUGAAGAAGGCCUUCGGGUUGUAAAGCACUUUCAGCGGGGAGGCGUUACCCGCAGAAGAAGCACUGGCUAACUCCGUGCCAGCAGCCGCGGUAAUUC